CCCUGUGACAUGCCAAACAUGGGCUAAACCGAGACACACCCGAAGCGUCGUCGGAAGAGACACCGGCGGCGACGCCGGAAAUGGCCACCGCGCCAUCAGUCUCCUCCCUCAUCUCCGAGCUCCACUCGAGAUGCCACUCCCUGUCCGCCAUAAAGCAGCUCCAUGCCCACAUCCUCGUACUUGCCUCCCACCACACCCCAUUCCCCUACAACCAUUUCCUCUCCAAGCUCCUCUCCGUCUCCUCUUGCACCACCACCACCGCCGCCGCCGCCUCCGAUUACGCCCUUCUCCUUCUCACCUCCCACCCCACCCCCACCGCCUUCUCAUUCAAUGUCGCGCUCCGCUUCUUCGCCUCCUCCCGCCCACGCACCUCCCUCGAGCUCUUCCUCCGCAUGCUCCGCUCUGAGCUCCGCCCGGACACCUACACUCUUCCUUUCCUCCUCCUCGCCGCCGCCCGCUGCCCGGCGCCUUCCUUCGCCCUCUCGGCGCAUGCGCUUCUUCACAAGCUCGGGCUGCAACACCACGACCACACCGUCCACUCCCUCAUCACCAUGUACUCCAACCUCGGCGAUCCCCGCGCUGCGCGCAGGGUGUUCGACGGAAUUCUCCACCGCGACGUCGUCUCCUGGAACGCUACGAUAAAAGCGUACGAGCGGGCGGGGAUGGCGGCCGACGUGGCGCGGAUGUUCCGUGCCAUGGUUGCCGAGGGUGCCGUGGCGCCCAACGCGGUGACUGUCGCGGUCGUGCUCGCAGCAUGCAGGGAUGCAGGAGACUUGGUGCUUGGUAGGUGGUUGGAGGACUGGGUGAAAUCUGCAGGGAUCGAGGUCGGAUCGCUCGUCGGAUCAGCUCUCGUUGGGAUGUAUGAGAAGUGCGGAGAGAUGGGGGAGGCACGGAGAGUGUUCGAUGGCAUUGCUGACAAGGAUAACGUCGCAUGGAAUGCCAUGAUCACUGGGUACGCGCAGAACGGCAUGUCAAACGAAGCCAUUUCAUUAUUUUACAGCAUGCGGCAAGCAGGGGCACGCCCAGAUAAGAUAACAUUGGUAGGGGUGCUCUCGGCCUGUGCUGCAGUUGGAGCUCUGGAGCUUGGCACUGAACUGGACAGCUACGCCUCACACAGAGGCCUAUACAGCAAUGUCUAUGUCGGGACUGCAUUGGUGGAUAUGUACUCAAAGUGUGGAAAUCUUAACAAAGCCGUAGAAGUCUUUGGGAAACUGCCAUGCAAGAAUGAAGCUUCAUGGAAUGCCUUGAUCUGCGGUCUUGCGUUCAAUGGGCGAGGCCAGGAAGCUAUUCGUCAGUUUGAACUGAUGAGGAGUGAGGAAGGUCUCCGACCGGACGAUAUCACCUUCAUAGGAGUACUUUCUGCUUGUGUGCAUGCUGGGUUACUGCAAGAUGGCCGGAGAUGGUUCUACUCCUUGACACCUGAGUUCCAAAUCAUUCCCAAGGUUGAGCACUACUCCUGCAUGGUUGACUUAUUGGCACGUGCCGGACAUUUAGAAGAAGCAUGGGACUUCAUUCAGAAGAUUCCUGGUAAGGCAGAUGCAGUUAUGUUGGGCGCUUUGCUUGCUGCUUGUCGGAAAUCGAAGAACGUUGAGGUCAGUGGCAGGGUCAUCGAUAGGAUCAUGCAGUUGGAGCCCUCAAACUCGUGGAACUAUGUGGUUUCAUCCAAGAUAUAUGCAAGUUCAGAUAGAUUGGAUGACUCUGCACGGAUGAGAGGACUGAUGAGAGAGAGAGGUGUGAACAAAGUUCCAGGCUGCAGCUGGGUUGAAGUUAGCGGCAGAGUUCUUGAAUUCUAUGCAGGUGAUGAACCACAGCAUGGUGCGGACGAUAUGUAUCCACUCCUCGACAUGCUGGUUGAUGAGAUGAGACUGGAGGGAUAUGUUCCAGAUCUUGAUCUGGUGUAACACAAAAACCAGGUGAAACUUCAGCAUUAGGCUGUAAUCAUGCAACCUGGUUACCAGUCCUCAGAGUCAACAAAUCAACAUGACAAAAAGAUAAUAAGUCCAAAGGAGAAGGUCUGUCUGAAAUUCCUCCUUAUGUUUUUUUUCUCUAACAAAGAGAUUCAAGUUUAAAUUUUAGAAGCUGAUAUAACAAGAACUCCAUGAACUACAUCACCCAUUUUUCAAAUGGUGAAUUACACUGAUAUUUUACCUUUUGAAUUAUUGUAUUGUUGAGAGAUUAAAUAAGCUUGAUUAUCCUUUUGUAACCACAACUUAUUGAUAUUCUCUGCUUCUAUCGGUAAUGUGCAAUCAUGGGCACAAUAUCCAUUUCUUUCCCUACAAGCCGUUUUUGGACGCAAAAAUAUUUUUUUCAUUAUUUUCAACUGGAGUUCCCUAUACCCUUGUACUAUGGAUUUAACCCAAGAGUAUUUAACUUAACAUCAUUUGCAGCAUAGUUUCUGAUAAUUUUAUUUGUUAACAUUUAAGAUUUAUUAAAACGUUUGCGAGUCCCAUAAUUUCUUGAUAUAUGAUAGGAUGAGAGUACUCCCUCCUUCCCAAAUUAGGAUGCCUAUAGUUUUUAGUCAAAGUCAAACUUUUUAAAAUUUGAGCAACUAUAUGUAAAUAUAUCAACAUAUGCAGUUUUAAAUGCACAUAAUAUGAAAAUAUAUUUCAUGAUGGUUCUAAAUAUUAAUCUGGAAUUAUAAAUGUUGACACUUUUUUCUAUAUAGUUGGUUAAAUUUUGAGAAGUUUGACUUUAUCCAAAUAUUAUAGGCAUCCUAUUUUGGGAUGGGAGUAGGUCAUAUGUCUGAAACGGCAGCAUUUAUUAAGGGUCACAGAAGUAAUGUUCAAAGAGAGAUACACUCUGGCGAUUUCAUUAUGCAAAUGGAAUGCUCGUUAUAAGGAUAUGGUGCUUUCCUGUUAUAUGCCCCCUGUCCUAAAAUAUAAGGCUUGCUUGACUUUUUUUUUUAAUGCAGAACUUUGACUAUGUUUUUUACUAUAUGUCUGCAAAAUUAGUAUAAAGACAUACUCCAUAUGAAACCAAAGUAUUGCGCAGGAAAAAUAAAAUGAUAGCAUUUAUGCAUAUGCCCAAUCCAUAUACUUGGUAUAUAUUGGUGGUCAAAGUCGUGCAUAAAAAACGUGCA